rnacentral:rRNA from 1 species
AAGAGACAGCAGUAGCCGCGGGAAUACGUAGGUGGCAAGCGUUGUCCGGAAUUAUUGGGCGUAAAGGGCUCGCAGGCGGUUUCUUAAGUCUGAUGUGAAAGCCCCCGGCUCAACCGGGGAGGGUCAUUGGAAACUGGGAAACUUGAGUGCAGAAGAGGAGAGUGGAAUUCCACGUGUAGCGGUGAAAUGCGUAGAGAUGUGGAGGAACACCAGUGGCGAAGGCGACUCUCUGGUCUGUAACUGACGCUGAGGAGCGAAAGCGUGGGGAGCGAACAGGAUUAGAUACCCCCGUAGUCCCUGUCUCUUAUAC